rnacentral:rRNA from 1 species
ACCCGCUGAACUUAAGCAUAUCAAUAAGCGGAGGAAAAGAAACCAACAGGGAUUGCCUCAGUAACGGCGAGUGAAGCGGCAACAGCUCAAAUUUGAAAUCUGGCCUUUGCGGGUCCGAGUUGUAAUUUGUAGAGGACGUUUUUGGCACCGCCCCGGUUUAAAUUUCUUGGAACAGAAUGUCAAAGAGGGUGAGAAUCCCGUCUUGGACCGGUGGUAGGACCUCUGUAAAACUCCUUCGACGAGUCGAGUUGUUUGGGAAUGCAGCUCAAAAUGGGUGGUAAAUUUCAUCUAAAGCUAAAUAUUGGCCAGAGACCGAUAGCGCACAAGUAGAGUGAUCGAAAGAUGAAAAGCACUUUGAAAAGAGAGUUAAACAGUAUGUGAAAUUGUUGAAAGGGAAGCGCUGGCAACCAGACUUGAGCUGAAAGGUUCCCCCUUCCUUCUGGUUGGGUUAUUCCUUUCUGUCCAGGCCAACAUCGGUUCGGGUGGCCGGUUAAAGGCCUCGGGAAUGUAUCUACCCUUCGGGGUCGACUUAUAGCCCGGGGUGUCAUGCGGCCUACCUGGACCGAGGAACGCGCUUCGGCUCGGAUGUUGGCGUAAUGGUUGUCAGCGACCCGUCUUGAAACACGG